rnacentral:tRNA from 1 species
UCCCAGGUGGCUCAGUGGCAAAGAAUCUGCCUGCCAAUGCAGGAGACACGGGUUCGAUCCCUGAUCUGGGAA